UACAGAGGUCUCAAGCGUUGUUCGGAUUCAUUGGGCGUAAAGGGUGCGUAGGCGGCGCGGUAAGUCGGGUGUGAAAUCUUGGAGCUUAACUCCGAAACUGCAUUCGAUACUGCCGUGCUUGAGGACUGGAGAGGAGACUGGAAUUUACGGUGUAGCGGUGAAAUGCGUAGAUAUCGUAAGGAAGACCAGUGGCGAAGGCGGGUCUCGUGGACAGUUCCUGACACUGAGGCACGAAGGCCAGGGGAGCAAACGGG
rnacentral:rRNA from 1 species